rnacentral:rRNA from 1 species
UGGGGAAUAUUGGACAAUGGGCGCAAGCCUGAUCCAGCCAUGCCGCGUGAGUGAUGAAGGCCCUAGGGUUGUAAAGCUCUUUCACCGGUGAAGAUAAUGACGGUAACCGGAGAAGAAGCCCCGGCUAACUUCGUGCCAGCAGCCGCGGUAAUACGAAGGGGGCUAGGGUUGUUCGGAUUUACUGGGCGUAAAGUGCACGUAGGCGGACUUUUAAGUCAGGGGUGAAAUCCCGGGGCUCAACCCCGGAACUGCCUUUGAUACUGGAAGUCUUGAGUAUGGUAGAGGUGAGUGGAAUUCCGAGUGUAGAGGUGAAAUUCGUAGAUAUUCGGAGGAACACCAGUGGCGAAGGCGGCUCACUGGACCAUUACUGACGCUGAGGUGCGAAAGCGUGGGGAGCAAACAGG